rnacentral:misc_RNA from 1 species
UAAUAAGUGUUUUAUGGCACUUUUUAAAUCCAUAUCCACCUUGUGUGCAAUGUCAGUCGAUCUUCUUCAUGGAGAUCGACCAAACAUCAACCUUUAUCUUUUAACUCUUUGUCUGAAAAAUAUUAAGAAUAAACAAUUCAAAAUA